AAGUCGUAACAAGGUAACCGUAGGUGAACCUGCGGUUGGAUCAUUAUUGAAAAUGAAAUUUAUAUUGGUGGGUGGCGCGGUAUCUUACUGCCACCACCCAUCAUUAUAUAUUAACAACAAAACCCUUGUGAAUCUAAUUCAUGUCUUUGGAGUGACUUGGUUUUCAUUGAAGAAAGCAGAUGAGAACUCCUAUUACUACUAAAAACAUUUACAAUCUUAAUUGAGCCUUUUAAAAAGAUUUCUUAAUAAUCAAAAAAAAACUUUUGACAAUGGAUCUCUUGGCUCUC
rnacentral:misc_RNA from 1 species